CACAAGUCACUUUAGUUACCAUGUAAGCUCUUCCAAAUCAAAUGUGAACAUUUCUUCCAUGUUAUGCAACAGUUGUGUUGGUGACACAUGGACAUGCGCAUUAGUCAAUGUAUUUAUAACUUAGAAAAUAUGAAUAGCUCUUGUUUAACUCUACAAUGCAAGUCUACUUGCACUUGAUUGGUAGAUUAUGUGAUAGAUAUAUUUACAACACAAGAUGGAGAACCAGAAAGACUUGUAUAGACAUUGGUUGGGGUAAGGGGAAGCUGAACACCAAGCCCCCCCUAUCAUGUCCAGACAACACAUCAAAUCACAAGACACCAAAGUAUUAUCUCUGUACAACUUGGGGGGAGCUGAACACCAAGCCCCCAUAUCAUGUGUCCAGACAACACAUCAAAUCACAAGACAUUAAAGUAUUAUCUCUGUACA